rnacentral:rRNA from 1 species
GAUGAACGCUAGCGGCAGGCUUAAUACAUGCAAGUCGUGGGGCAGCAUGAGUGUAGCAAUACAUUUGAUGGCGACCGGCAAACGGGUGCGGAACACGUACACAACCUUCCUAUAAGUGGGGAAUAGCCCAGAGAAAUUUGGAUUAAUACCCCGUAACAUAAUGAUGUGGCAUCACAUUAUUAUUAUAGCUUCGGCGCUUAUUGAUGGGUGUGCGGCUGAUUAGAUAGUUGGCGGGGUAACGGCCCACCAAGUCUACGAUCAGUAGCUGAUGUGAGGGCAUGAUCAGCCAAACGGGCACUGAGACACGGGCACGACUCCUCCGGGAGGCAGCAGUAAGGAAUAUUGGUCAAUGGACGCAAGUCUGAACCAGCCAUGCCGCGUGAAGGAUUAAGGUCCUCUGGAUUGUAAACUUCUUUUAUCUGGGACGAAAAAAGGCGAUUCUUCGUCACUUGACGGUACCAGAUGGAUAAGCACCGGCUAACUCCGUGCCAGCAGCCGCCGUAAGAC